GAUGAACGACUCGGCGGGCGGUGCCUAACACAUGCAAGUCGAACGGACAUUUUUGGGAAAGCGUCUUACGGGAACUGGAAUCUAAAUGUUAGUGGCGGACGGGUGAGUAACGCGUGAGCAAUCUGCCUUUCAGAGGGGGAUAACAGCCGGAAACGGCUGCUAAUACCGCAUAAUGCAUUGGAUUCGCAUGUUUCUGAUGCCAAAGAUUUUAUCGCUGAAAGAUGAGCUCGCGUCUGAUUAGGUAGUUGGUGGGAUAAAAGCUUACCAAGCCAACGAUCUGUAGCUGGUCUGAGAGGACGAUCAGCCACACUGGGACUGAGACACGGCCCAG
rnacentral:rRNA from 1 species